CGUGUCAUGCUGCGGCGUUGCGUUCAGUAGUUGGAUACCAUACGGGAACUCGUAUUUGCCACAACAACCUGCUGGAAAGGGAGGGUAUUGGAACUCAUAUUUGCCGCAAUAUGAAAACUAUGGGCCACAACAAUAUCAAGGUUCCUAUUGGCCUGGACCAUGGGGCGGCUGGCGAGGAAAUAACGUCGGAUCGCAAGGUAAUUCCGUAAGCGGGUAUGGGAAUGCCGUAGGAUCGCAAGGGAAUAAUGUCGACGGAUAUGGGAAUGAUGUUGGCUCGCAAUGGAAUUCCGUGGACGGUAAAGGCAAUUACGUUGGCUCGCAAUGGAAUUCCGUGAACUGAGUACAGCUGAAAUGGAACACAAUACAGAACAACACGUACCAAAAAUGUUUUCUUUUGUUGACAAUACUUAAUAAAUAUUAUUCAGCAACGCUUACCUUGAUUUGUGUCAUACAUGUGGUAUAUUCUUUAUAUGACUUUACAUUAACUCUAUUGAAGCAUUUUGCAGAAGAAUGUGGAAUCACGAAAUUCGUUUCUGUGUCGAAUGGUUUUUUAUUAAUUGUACUUAUUCACUUAUUAUAACACAUUUAUGGAUACCAAUGCUGAGCCCGUUAUAUUAAUACUGCGAUGGAAAUAUUAUAAACAUAUUUUGAUGUGUAUGAAUUGCCCCUGCAUAUUUACCACAACCAAUAACAUAUGCUUGCAUAGGUGCAUAGUUACCAUUACCAAUAACAUACAUCUGCAUUAAAUAAAUGAUUCUUUGUAAAAGUAUAAAUCACGAUGGGUGUCUCACUUAUAUUAAAACUAUGCUGUUCUAUUGUGUUUAAAACAACUUAUUCUUAAUUGUUUACAUCUGCUUAAUGCUUACCCUGCAUAAGUUAGAGAUAAAUUAAUACAGAAGGAGUUGUGUUGUAACGAAAGUCUGUCUUAGGCAAAAUACACUGUGCUUAAAUGGAAUACUAUGAUGAUAUGAA